rnacentral:rRNA from 1 species
AUUAUUUUUUUUUAAUUUUAAUGGUUUAGGGUUAAAAAAUUAUUUUUUGUUUAGGUAUUUUAUUGAGGAAUUUAUUUAAAAUUAAACCGUAAGGGUUAAAAAAUUAUUUUUUAAAAGAAAAUUUUUUUGUUGUACCUUUUGUCUCAGGGUUGAUUCAAUUUUAUUAACUAUAUUUUAAUUUUCCCGAAAGUUUAAGAUCUUAAUUUUUUUGUUUAUAGUUGUUACACAAACUUGAAAAAAUUAAAUUAAGUUUUGAAAUGAAAAUCGUUUAUUCUGAUAUCUGGUUCUUUUGGAAAUAAAUUUAAUUUAGGUAACUUAAAUAUUUUGAGUUUAUUUUUAGUUUAAAUUUUAGUUACUAAGUUAAAUUGGGUUAAUCUAAUUUAAAUUUUUAUAAAUGRGAAUUUAAAGGGGUUUUGUAGGAUUAAAAUUUUUUUUCUAAUAAAGUUUUUUUUAAAUUAUUCCUUGAAAUUUAAGAAUUUUUAAUUUUUUACAAAAUUUACAAAUAAAAUUUUUYAAUUUGUUAAAAAUGAUUAUAUAAGUAAAUUUGAAAUUUAUUUUUAUGAACUCGGCAAACUACAUUUCUGUCUGUUUAUCAAAAACAUUUCUUUUAGCAUUUUAUUUAAAGUUGGGCCUGCUCAAUGAAAAUUUUUAAAUAGCUGCAGUAUAUUAACUGUACAAAGGUAGCGUAGUAAGUAGUCUUUUAAUUGAGGUCUAGCAUGAAUGGUUUAACAAGAAAUUAACUUUAUUGACUUAAUUAAAUGAAUUUUAUUUUUUAGUUAAAAAGCUAAAAUUUAAAAAUGGGACGAUAAGACCCUAUAGAUCUUUAAAUUUUUUAAUUAAUAAGAUUAUUUAGGUUUAAUUGUAUUUUAUUUUUAAGAAUUUUUUGUUGGGGUGACAAAUAAAUUUUUAAAACUUUAAUAUUUUUAUACAUAAAUUAGUGAAUUUUAUUGAACCCAAUUUUAGGGGUGUUAAAAUAAGAUACCUUAGGGAUAACAGCGUAAUAAAUUUGAAUAGUUCUUAUAGAUAAAUUUGUUUGCGACCUCGAUGUUGAAUUAAUCUAAAGUUUUGGAGCAGAAAUUAGAAUUUUGGGUCUGUUCGACCUUUAAAUGAUUACAUGAUUUGAGUUCAAACCGGUGUGAGCCAGGUUGGUUUCUAUCUAUUUUAAGUUUCAUUUAAUUAGUACGAAAGGACUUUUAAGUUAGGAAGACUUUCU